GAUGAACGCUGGCGGCGUGCUUAACACAUGCAAGUCGAACGGUAAGGCCCUUCGGGGUACACGAGUGGCGAACGGGUGAGUAACACGUGGGUGAUCUGCCCUGCACUUCGGGAUAAGCCUGGGAAACUGGGUCUAAUACCGGAUAGGACUCCGGACUGCAUGGUCUGGGGUGGAAAGCUUUUGUGGUGUGGGAUGGGCCCGCGGCCUAUCAGCUUGUUGGUGGGGUGAUGGCCUACCAAGGCGACGACGGGUAGCCGGCCUGGGAGGGUGACCGGCCACACUGGGACUGAGAUACGGCCCAGACUCCUACGGGAGGCAGCAGUGGGGAAUAUUGCACAAUGGGCGCAAGCCUGAUGCAGCGACGCCGCGUGAGGGAUGACGGCCUUCGGGUUGUAAACCUCUUUCAGCACAGACGAAGCGCAAGUGACGGUAUGUGCAGAAGAAGGACCGGCCAACUACGUGCCAGCAGCCGCCGUAA
rnacentral:rRNA from 1 species